GUGCUCACUUCAGCAGCAUAUGUACUAAAAUUGGAACAAUACAGAGAUUAGCAUAGCUACUGAGCAAGGAUGACACACAAAUUCACGAAGUGAUCCAUAUUUUU
ensembl:snRNA U6 U6 spliceosomal RNA